AGCCAGAACUGCCAGUUCUUCUUCUGUAGAGGUACUUUCUUGAUCCAUGCCAUUCUCCUCUGAAAGAUAAGCAAAUACUAACACACCGUUUUCCUAGUGUGUUUGAUGUCAAAAGAACCAAUCAUGGGGCUGGGAAUAUGGCCUAGUGGCAAGAGCGCU